rnacentral:rRNA from 1 species
UCCGUAGGUGAACCUGCGGAAGGAUCAUUAUUGAAUAAACUUGAACAGGCUGUUGCUGGUCCUUAUCAGGGCAUGUGCACGCUUGUCAUCUUUAUCUCUCCAACUGUGCACACACCGUAGACCUGGAUCUUCUUUGAUUCACAUCGAUUGAGGGACUGCUGUGCCUUUGAAAUAGAAAGCCAGCUUUUCCUUUUCACAAUCUCAGGUCUAUGUUUAUCAUCUAUACAAUGUCUUAGAAUGGUGGAUUUGGGUCAUUUGUACCUAUAAAAGUUAUAAUAUACAACUUUCAGCAACGGAUCUCUUGGCUCUCGCAUCGAUGGAGAACGCAGCGAAAUGCGAUAAGUAAUGUGAAUUGCAGAAUUCAGUGAAUCAUCGAAUCUUUGAACGCAUCUUGCGCUCCUUGGUAUUCCGAGGAGCAUGCCUGUUUGAGUGUCAUUAAGUUCUCAACUGCAUCAGUUUCCAAUUGGUGUGGCUUGGAUAUGGGGGAUUUCUCUUUGCAGGCUUUCGAAAUUCUUUGAAGGCCUGCUCCCCUGAAAUGCAUCAGCGGUAUCUGAGCAGAGACCUACCACAGGUGUGAUAAUUAUCUAUGCCUUUGGUGUACUGCAUGAAUGGAUUACACUGCUUCUAACGAGCGAAAACCUUUUUCACCUUUUGACAAAUUUGACCUCAAAUCAGGUAGGACUACCCGCUGAACUUAAGCAUAUCAAUAAGCGGAGGA